GCCCCUGUAGCUCAGCGGAUAGAGCGCCAGCCUCCGGAGCUGGAAGCCCGAGUUCGAGUCUCGGCAGGGGUACCA
rnacentral:tRNA from 1 species